UACGUAGGGGGCAAGCGUUGUCCGGAUUUAUUGGGCGUAAAGAGCGUGUAGGCGGUUUGGUAGGUCCGCUGUGAAAACUCGAGGCUCAACCUCGAGACGCCGGUGGAAACCAUCAGACUAGAGUCCGGAAGAGGAGAGUGGAAUUCCUGGUGUAGCGGUGAAAUGCGCAGAUAUCAGGAAGAACACCCGUGGCGAAGGCGGCUCUCUGGAACGCAACUGACGCUGGGACGCGAAAGCGUGGGGAGCAAACAGG
rnacentral:rRNA from 1 species